UAUUCCCCACUGCUGCCUCCCGUAGGAGUCUGGGCCGUGUCUCAGUCCCAAUGAGGCCGUUCAACCUCUCAGUCCGGCUACCGAUCGUCGCCUUGGUGGGCCGUUACCCCGCCAACAAGCUAAUCGGACGCGAGUCCAUCUCUAAGCGAUAAAUCUUUGAUAUCAAAGUCAUGCGGCUUCAAUAUGUUAUGCGGUAUUAGCGAUCUUUUCAGAACGUUAUUCCCCUCUUAGAGGCAGGUUACUCACGCGUUACUCACCCGUCCGCCACUAAGUUAAAAAUCCGUCAUCCCGAAGGAAUCCGUCAAAAUAACUCCGUUCGACUUGCAUGUGUAGGCACGCCGCCAGCGUUCAUCCUGAGCCAA
rnacentral:rRNA from 1 species